rnacentral:rRNA from 1 species
UGGGGAAUAUUGGACAAUGGGCGAAAGCCUGAUCCAGCAAUGCCGCGUGAGUGAUGAAGGCCUUAGGGUUGUAAAGCUCUUUUACCAGGGAUGAUAAUGACAGUACCUGGAGAAUAAGCUCCGGCUAACUCCGUGCCAGCAGCCGCGGUAAUACGGAGGGAGCUAGCGUUGUUCGGAAUUACUGGGCGUAAAGCGUACGUAGGCGGUGACUCAAGUCAGAGGUGAAAGCCUGGAGCUCAACUCCAGAACUGCCUUUGAAACUAGGUCGCUAGAAUCACGGAGAGGUGAGUGGAAUUCCGAGUGUAGAGGUGAAAUUCGUAGAUAUUCGGAAGAACACCAGUGGCGAAGGCGGCUCACUGGACGUGUAUUGACGCUGAGGUACGAAAGCGUGGGGAGCGAAACAGGAUUAGAUACCCAAGUAGUCCCUGAGCGGGCUGGCAAGGCGCAU